UGCAAGUCGAACGAUGAAACCUAGCUUACUAGGUGGAUUAGUGGCGCACGGGUGAGUAAUAUAUAGAUAACGUGCCUCUUAGUCUGGGAUAGCCAUUGGAAACGAUGAUUAAUACUGGAUACUCCUUCUCUUUAUAAUAAGAGUUGGGAAAGUUUUUCGCUAAGAGAUCGGUCUAUAUCCCAUCAGGUAGUUGGUAGUGUAAGAGACUACCAAGCCUAUGACGGGUAGCGGGUUUGAGAGGAUGAUCCGCCACACUGGUACUGAGACACGGACCAGACUCCUACGGGAGGCAGCAGUGAGGAAUAUUGCACAAUGGAGGAAACUCUGAUGCAGCAACGCCGCGUGGAGGAUGACGCAUUUCGGUGUGUAAACUCCUUUUAUAUGUCAAGAGAAUGACGGUAGCAUAUGAAUAAGCACCGGCUAACUCCGUGCCAGCAGCCGCGGUAAUACGGAGGGUGCAAGCGUUAUUCGGAAUCACUGGGCGUAAAGGACACGUAGGCGGGAAGCCAAGUCUGAUGUGAAAUCCUAUGGCUCAACCAUAGAACUGCAUUGGAAACUGGUUACCUAGAGUAUGGGAGGGGGAGAUGGAAUUAGUGGUGUAGGGGUAAAAUCCGUAGAUAUCACUAGGAAUACCUAAAGCGAAGGCGAUCUCCUGGAACAUUACUGACGCUAAGGUGUGAAAGCGUGGGGAGCAAACGGGAUUAGAUACCCCGGUAGUCCACGCCCUAAACGAUGUUCACUAGUCGUCGGGAUGCUAGUCAUCUCGGUGAUGCACUUAACAGAUUAAG
rnacentral:rRNA from 1 species